rnacentral:rRNA from 1 species
GUGCCAGCAGCCGCGGUAAGACAGAGGGUGCAAACGUUGUUCGGAAUUACUGGGCGUAAAGCGCGUGUAGGCUGCUCUGCAAGUCGGAUGUGAAAGCCCUGGGCUCAACCUAGGAAGUGCACUCGAAACUGCAGAGCUUGAGUCUCGGAGAGGGUCGCGGAAUUCUCGGUGUAGAGGUGAAAUUCGUAGAUAUCGAGAGGAACACCGGUGGCGAAGGCGGCGACCUGGACGAUGACUGACGCUGAGACGCGAAAGCGUGGGGAGCAAACAGGAUUAGAUACCCGCGUAGUCC